UGUCGGUCCCUCCCCUUCCGCUUCGACCCGCCCCGCUCCCUGAGAAUGAGACGUGAGAGCUGUUGGGUGGCGCGGGGAAAGGCGAGUGUAGUGAGGCGGUAGUUCUCGCUGUGAGAUCCGGGGUCCGAGCAGGCCCUUGGAUGAAUUGCAGAGAGGGACGUUCCUUCUCUCCUUCCACCAAGUCCCGGCGGACCUCACUGCGCCCCGCCAACGCUCUUCAAUGGAAAGAUCAGAACCACUAGGAGAAACACAGCUCCUUCAAAGAGAAAGACUAAGUCUUGGGAAAGAAGCAGAUAAGUGAGGUGAAAUAUUGUCAGCAUCAUAGACACCAACCGAGGAUGGAUGCCAGGCACUGGAGGAAUAUGUCAAGAUGGCAAGUUUGCUGGGUGCAGUGGCUCACGCCUGUAAUCCCAGCACUUUGGGAGGCCAAGGCGGGUGGAUAACUUCAGG